GAGGAUUUAGCUCAGUGGUAGAGCACUUGCCUAGCAAGCACAAGGCCCUGGGUUCGGUCCCCAGCCCCG
rnacentral:tRNA from 1 species